rnacentral:lncRNA from 1 species
UCUCAUCAACUUAGGGGGAGUCUAAGUUUAUUCGUGAAGGGAGUUCACAAGUAAAGAGGAAUGAUUAAUCAAGAAUUUCUAUUAUUUAGGGGAGUUUGAGUAGUUAUUCACUAAUAGUAGCAUACUUAAGGGGAGCCUAAGUAUUAAAGAGAAUGUUUCCCAAGUGUCCAGUGAAUUAGUUCUACGAUUGUCUUUGUGAGCGGAAGAGU